rnacentral:rRNA from 1 species
GCGUAAGAGCUCGUAGGCGGUUUGUCGCGUCUGCUGUGAAAUCCCGAGGCUCAACCUCGGGCUUGCAGUGGGUACGGGCAGACUAGAGUGCGGUAGGGGAGAUUGGAAUUCCUGGUGUAGCGGUGGAAUGCGCAGAUAUCAGGAGGAACACCGAUGGCGAAGGCAGAUCUCUGGGCCGUAACUGACGCUGAGGAGCGAAAGCAUGGGGAGCGAACAGGAUUAGAUACCCUGGUAGUCCAUGCCGUAAACGUUGGGCGCUAGAUGUAGGGACCUUUCCACGGUUUCUGUGUCGUAGCUAACGCAUUAAGCGCCCCGCCUGGGGAGUACGGCCGCAAGGCUAAAACUCAAAGGAAUUGACGGGGGCCCGCACAAGCGGCGGAGCAUGCGGAUUAAUUCGAUGCAACGCGAAGAACCUUACCAAGGCUUGACAUACACCGGAAACGGCCAGAGAUGGUCGCCCCCUUGUGGUCGGUGUACAGGUGGUGCAUGGUUGUCGUCAGCUCGUGUCGUGAGAUGUUGGGUUAAGUCCCGCAACGAGCGCAACCCUCGUUCUAUGUUGCCAGCGGGUUAUGCCGGGGACUCAUAGGAGACUGCCGGGGUCAACUCGGAGGAAGGUGGGGAUGACGUCAAAUCAUCAUGCCCCUUAUGUCUUGAGCUUCACGCAUGCUACAAUGGCCGGUACAAAGGGCUGCGAUACCCGUAGGUGGAGCGAAU